UACGAAGGGGGCUAGCGUUGUUCGGAAUUACUGGGCGUAAAGCGCACGUAGGCGGAUUGUUAAGUGAGGGGUGAAAUCCCGGGGCUCAACCCCGGAACUGCCUCUCAUACUGGCAAUCUCGAGUUCGAGAGAGGUGAGUGGAAUUCCGAGUGUAGAGGUGAAAUUCGUAGAUAUUCGGAGGAACACCAGUGGCGAAGGCGGCUCACUGGCUCGAUACUGACGCUCAGACG
rnacentral:rRNA from 1 species